rnacentral:lncRNA from 10 species
GGAAUUUCAGACGAUUUUGAAACAUAUAUAUUAAUAACAUAUUUGUACAAAUAUAACCCAAAGAAAGUUAAACACCUUCAAAUUCAUAUGGAAUUAACCAGGGAUCCAGAAAAGCCAAAACAACCUUGAAAAAGAACAAAGUUGGGUAACUCACACUUCCCAAUUUCAAAACUUACUACAAAGCUACAGUAAUCAAAAUAAUGUGUAACUGGCAUAUAAAUAGACAUAUAGACCAACAAAAUAGAAUUGAGAGUCCAGAAAUAAACCCAUAUGUCUAUGGCCAAUUAAUUUUCAACAAGGGUGCCAGGACCACUCAAUGGGGAAAGGAUAGUCUCUUCAACAAGUGAUGCUGCAACAACUGGACAUCCACAUGCAAGGGAAGGAAGCUGGGCCCCCAUUCACACCAUAUAUAAAAUUAACUCAAAAUGGACCAAAGAGUUAAAUCAUAAAACUUAGGAGAAAACAUAGGGGUAAAUCUUCAUGACUUUGAAUUUGGCAGUUAAUUUUUUCUUUUCUUUCCCUUUUUUUUUUGUCACUCCAGCUUUCUUUCAAUUGGCAGUUGAUUCAUUCUUUGUUUUUUCUUUGAGACAGAGUCUCGCUCUGUUGCCUGAGCUGGAGUACAGUGGCGCAAUUUCAGCUCACCGCAACCUCCACCUCCUGGGUUCAAGCGAUUCUCGUGCCUCAACCUCCUGAGUAGCUGGAACUACAGGCGCAUGCCACCACACCUGGCUAAUUUUGUACAUAUUUGGUAGAGACGGGGUUUCACCAUGUUGGCAAGGCUGAUCUUGAACUCCUGACUUCAGGUGAUCUGCCUGCCUCGGCCUCCCAAAGUGCUGGGAUUACAGGCAUGAGCCACCGUGCCCGGCUUCAUUCUUAAAUAUGACACCAAAAGUAUAAGCAGCAAAAGAAAAAAAUAGAUAAAUCAGAUUUCAUCAAAAUUAAAAACUUAGCCAGACAUGAUGGCAUGUACCUGUAGUCUCAGCUACUCAAGAGUCUGAGACAGGAACAUCACUUGAGCCCAUUAAGUUCAGGCCAGCCUGGACAAAAACAAAAUUUCUUUAUAAAUUAAAAAGGCCAGGAGCAGUGGCUCAUGAUGAUUUCUUUUACUUUUAUUUUCACAGUAAAAUAAUAGCCAAAGUCAUCAGCUAAGAGUAAGGAAAGAUAAAGGGAUGCUGGAAAACUGCAGAGAUUGUUCAUAAAUAAAGCCUCCCUUCUUUCAUUUAUUCAGUCAGGACAGCACCCAACAGAGGUGGCCAGUUACUUGGCAGCUUUAUCUACUGUGUAUAUCCGGGAUGCUUAGCAUGACGUGUCCCUAAGUGUUGAAGAAUCCAUCGCAUCUUGGGAUCUAGCUGAGAGGGAAGGGUUGGGGUUGGGAAAAUAGCAAUAGAUACAGCUAGCGUUCAUUGAAUGCUUCUUAAAGGUUGAGCACAGUAAUUCAGAGCUCCACCUGACUUUUCUCAUUGAAUCCAAACAACAGUCAGCCAGAUGCAGUGGCUCACGCCUGUAAUCCCAGCACUUUGGGAGGCUGAGGCGAGUGGAUCACCUGAGGUCAGGGGUUCAAGACCAAUCUGGCCAAAAUGGUGAAACCCCAUCUCUACUAAAAAUACAAAAAUUAGCCAGGCGUGGUGGCAGGCGCCAGUAAUCCCAGCUACUCGGGAGGCUGAGGCAGGAGAAUCACUUGAACCCAAGAGGUGGAGGUUGCAGUGAGCCAAGAUCACCCCAUUGCACUCCAGUCUGGGCAACAAGAGCGAAACUCCGUCUCAGAAAAAAAAAAAUCCAAUCAACAGUCUUUUUUUUUUUAAGGUUUU